rnacentral:lncRNA from 1 species
UCAGCUCUGUCCUGGAGGUCAGCUAAGAUCAUGGGGGGAGCGGCCUUCAGGAGGCUCGGCUCUCUGUGCACUUUGCUCAAGAUACCUGAAGAAUGAUUACUUUGAGGAAGAAAGGAAGACUUUUAGGAAAGAAGCGACUUUGUUUUCGCGGUCAAGGAGCGAAGGCCCCAAGAGACCAAGGUAGACGCUGAAGGAAUCCGGGAAGAUGACAGAAGCGGUGAAGAGACGCGAGGCACAGAGAGCGGGGAGCCUGCAGAGAGCAGGGACAGCGGCUUCAAACGCACUGUUUCCGGGCAAUGUCACUAAUACCAAAGUCAUGCCUCCCACUGGACACUCCUGGGCUCCCAUCCUUCCUACCAAGAAACUUUCUCUGUGAAACCCACGAAACAGCUAGAAAUGGAGCCCAAAAGAUAGCCAGGAUAACAGACCACAGAGAGGAUCAAGGCCCAGCAGGACCUGGCGACUCUAACGCUCUGGCACUAGGGAACCCAAAACAAUGAAACCUUUUCAAGGAAGUAAGGUGUUGACAUGACUGGAUUAAGAAAUACCUACAAAACUGGCAAAACAGUACUUCUGGAUGUGUCUGUGAGGGUGUUUCAAGGAGACUGAUGUGUCUCUGGACUUGGACUGGGCCAUGCUACCAGCAUCUCAGAGUUGCCAGCUUGUAGACAGCCUGUUGUGCGACUUCUCAACCUCUGUAAUCAAGUGAGCUAAUUCCCCUAACAAACCCCCUCUCAUAUGUCUAUAUCUAUCGAUAGCUCCUAUUGAUCUGCCUCUCUGUAGAACCCUGACCAAUGCACACAUGCUUAUUACAAGGUAUUGACCCUUGGCCAAUGCUGUGCAAUGGAUUAACUAAAGAUAAAGAUGUUCUAUAAC